rnacentral:sRNA from 1 species
CGAACCUGCCGCAGGUUCGGGUCGAACGCAGUGAGACAACGGAGCCGUUUACGGCGACGGCCCGUAGGGCGAGCGAAGCGAGUCAUCCUGCACGACCCACCA